GGUCGAAUGGUGUAGUUGGUUAUCACGUCAGUCUAACCCACUGAGGGUCUCCGGAUCGAACCCGAUUCUAGUCG